UUAAAUCUACCUUCUCUAUAUGAAGACCAGGAUGCUGCAUCUUUAGCUCCAUCCCCGCCCACCACAUCCAACCUCAAAUCAGCACUCCAGCGGCAGCGCCAUGGAGUUUGCAAUAGGGGCAUUAAGCAGCUUGCUUCCGAAGCUGCACGACCUCCUCAGAGAAGAAUACAACCUGCAAAAGGGCGCCAAGAAGAACCUUCAGUUCCUCGAGAGAGAACUUGAGAGCAUGCACAUCGCCCUGCACAAAGUAGGCAACGUGCCUCUGGAUCAGCUGGACGAGCAGGUCAGGAUUUGGGCACGCGACAUUAGGGAGCUGUCCUACGACAUGGAGGAUGUCAUAGACACUUUCCUGGUCCGUGUCGAGGGCCGCCAUCCCCACCAGCCACGGAGCUCCAAAGAUCUGGUUAAGAGGAUGGUAAAGUUAUUCAAGAAAGGCAACACUCACCGUCAGAUUUUAGAAGAGCUUAAAGACAUCAAGGAUCGCAUCAAGGAGGUGGCCAAAAGACGUGAGAGGUACAAUGUUGCUAUAGUGAGUCCUGCCACAACCAUGAUCGAUGCACGCUUAAGAGCUUUGUAUGCCAAAACGACUGACCUUGUUGGCAUUGAUAUGGCAACGAACGACCUAAUCAUGAGGUUUACAAAUGGAGGAGAUGGCAUGCCCACAAGACAGCAAAAGGUAGUAUCUAUUGUUGGAUUUGGAGGGCUAGGCAAGACUACUGUUGCCAAAGCAGUUUAUGACAAGCUUAAAGGGCAAUUUGAAUGUGCUGCUUUUGUCUCGGUGUCUCGAAAUCCUGACUUGAAGAAAGUUCUCAAGGGUAUACUCUGUGAACUUGACAAAGGAAGGCACAUGAGCAUUCAUAACUCAGCAUGCGAUGAAAAGCAACUUAUCGACCAACUAAGAGAUUUCCUCCAAGGCAAGAGGUAUUUCAUUGUCAUUGAUAACAUAUGGGAUAUAAUUUCAUGGAAUAUAAUAAGAUGUGCUCUGGAUGAGAGUGACAUAGGAAGUUGUAUACUCACAACUACACGCAACAAUGACAUUGCAGAUAGAGUUCGUGGGUGGUCUUACAGACUUCAACCACUUAGUCAUGAGAACUCCAAAAUAUUAUUCUACAGAAGAAUAUUUGGCAGUGAAGACAAAUGUCCUAAAACAAUUAUUGAAGUAUCUACAAAGAUUUUAAAGAAGUGUGGAGGUGUGCCAUUAGCUAUUGUUUCUAUAUCUAGUCUGUUGGCCAAUAAGUUGGACAAUGUAACAGAAUGGUCCAACAUAUGUGACUGUAUUGGGUCUGGACUUGAAAAUGAUAAUGAUAUGAACGGCAUGAGAAAGAUAUUGUCCCUUAGCUAUUAUGAUCUACCUUCUCAUUUAAAGACAUGCUUAUUAGAUCUAAGUACAUUUCCAGAAGAUUAUGAGAUAAGGAAGGACCGAUUAAUAUGGAGGUGGAUAGCAGAAGGCUUCGUACAACCUGGAAAGAUGGCCAAUAACUUAUUUGAGCUUGGAGAGAGUUACUUCUUUGAGCUUAUUAAUAGAAGUAUGAUUCACCCAGUAGAGAUGGAUGAACAAGGUCGGGCUCAAGCUUGCCGCAUGCAUGAUAUGGUGCUUGAUCUCAUUUGUUCAUUGUCGAGAGAAGAAAACUUUGUUAAUAUCUCAAGAGGAGUUGAGGAAAGCACAUUUUGGCGUAGCAAGAUUCGCAGGUUAUCCCUCCAAGAAAAUAUCAGGGCUAACAUGAACAUGGCGCAAGUGAGGUCCUUUACUAUCUUUAGCUCUGCCAUUAGUUCGAUGCCGUCCCUUUCAUGCUUUCAUGUUGUACGUGUACUGGAUCUUGAAGGUUGUGAUCUUAAAGGAUGUGGCCAUCUUAAUCUGAGGUACAUUGCGAACCUAAUUCACCUACGGUAUCUUGGGCUAAGACAUACAUUUGUUGAUGAGCUGCCAGAAAAUAUAAGGAGGCUACAAUUUUUGCAAACAUUAGACCUAUCAAGAACUCUAAUAGAAGAGCUGCCAUCAGGCAUUGUUCAACUACGCCAAUUGAUGUGCCUAUCUGUUAACUAUAACACAAGACUGCCAAAUGGGCUGAGGAAUAUGACAUCCCUGGAAGUGCUGGAGACAGUGAGGGUGGAUGAGGACUCUACCGACAUUGUGAAAGAUCUGGGCCUUCUCUCCCAGCUGAGGGUGGUCCACAUCGACUUCAAUCUGCAAAGAUGGGAAGGAUUGGGUGAGCGCGUGGGCAAAGCUUUGGUGGAGUCCCUUAACAGUCUGCAGAAAAUCCAAAGUCUAGAGAUCACUGAUUUCAGUGGGGAAGACGAGCACAUGAAGGAAGGCUGGGUGCCGCCUCCACGACUCCGUAGAUUUGUUAUGUGGACAGCCAGUUCAGUGUCAACUUGGAUUAGUCCUGCGUCGCUUCUCCUCCUCUCCUACCUAGAUAUAGAAGUUCAUAAAAUCGAAGGAAAUGACAUCCAAAUCCUUGGGAUGCUGCCUUCUCUUCGUCAUCUCUGGCUGGGGGCGAGUGGUCAUCUACAAGAGCUACCAGUGGAGGAAAGGUUCAUGGUUAGCGCCGAUGCAUUCCCGUGUGCGAGAGUGUGCAAAUUCUUCAAUUUCGUAACGGUGCCAUCCAUGUUCCCGCGAGGAGCUAUGCCUAGGGUUGAGCACCUCGAGUUCUGCCUCCGACCGAGCCGUUUCUUCACCGAUGGUGAUUUUGACCUGAGCGACUUGGGCAUGGGGCACCUUCCUUCACUCGACCGUGUUGUUAUCAACCUGCAUAGUGAGCGGGCGGACAGCAAAGAAGAUGUGGGGGAAGUGGAGAAGGGACUGAGGCACGCGGCGGGUGUCCACCCCAACUAUCCCUCCAUUGAUGUGAGACACCAUUAGGCACGCAGCGUGUUGAAUACAGUGCUAUUUUUGGUUUGAUCUACUGCUGCGUCAAGUUACCACGCCAUCAGCAACCACUAAGGUCAGUUACUCCCUUGCCUUUUUUCGAGAUUUCAUCACUCUCUUCCUAGAUAAUAGUAGCACACCGUUUCUCUCUUCCUAGAUAGCACUACUAGUUUUUAGGGCUAAUGCCACGGAGCACAUUGGAACAACACAAAAUAUGUUGCAUUAGAUAGGUGUUAUUGCAACCUUUUUGUAAUUCCUUUGCAAAUGAUUGAUGCAAUUGCAACCAUUUGAAAUAUGGUUGUGAGUAGCUGAUAAUUUUGCAACAUUUAUUAUCCGUUAUUAUAAUUUUUAUUUUUGUUGCAAUAUGUAAGGGUUAUUGCCACCAAAUUCAAAGUGGUUGCGAGUAGUAAAUGAUAUUGCUACGAAUUUGUUGCAUUGCAUUAAAUCCUCACGUGCAUUGCAAUACAUUUAUCUAUAUUGCAACAAAAAAUUUAGUGGCUGCAUGAAGAUGAUGCUAUUGCCACCGAUUAUACGUUUUGGUGUACGCUAAUUUAAUUUGUGGCAAUAAAUCAUUGUAUUGCAACAAGAUAUAUUUCGCUGGCUCAAUAUGUAGGUGGACCCAAAUAACCAGCAACUGGCCCCGCAAAGAAAAGAAUACUGCAGUGGCGUCGUGGUCGAGACGGGCGGCAGACGGAGCAGGGGCGACCAGGCAGCGCGCCAUCGUGAGCAGAGCAGCUAGUGCGGCUGGCCGGCCGGCGGGCAAGAGUGCGCCUGGCUGGUGUUCCUUUGCGGCUACAGCUGAUCAAUUUGCCCCGCAGUAGAUCGACGACGGACGUACUACCUGCAGUUUUUGUUAAACAUUAUAGCUUGAGCGGCAGCAGGAGAAAGGCAAAGGAUAGACGUUGUUCGUCAUGUGCAGGUCUUGGGUGUGCCUGCCACAAAGAACAGAAGAGUGGCAGAAAGGAUUCAAGAAAUUUAUGUCAUUUGUAGUUUCAAUUUAAUUAGAAACUUGCGCGACAGCAAGAGGAGGAAGGCAAAGGACUGCCGUUCGUCAUGUGUUGGUCAUUGAUCACUUUAAUUUGUGUAUCAUUUUAAUUGAAAAGAUUGAGGGGUAUGUCUUCGCGCGAUGAUAGGUCUUGGGUGCGCCUGCCACAACAAACAGAAGAGUGGCAAAAAGGAUUCAAGAAAUUUAUAGAGGCUACAUUUGCUGGUACAUCUAUAGGAGAAACGACACCGUGUCCAUGUACAAGAUGUCGUACAAUGUCCUACCGAACAAUUAAAGAAGUUAGAACUCAUUUGAUUUGCCAUAGGAUCAAUCACAACUAAAUAUAUGCGUGGCAAUACCCCCUAUUGCCACGACGUUGGCCGUGGCCAAACAA